GGUGAGCUAAACGGAGGUGUGAUGCGACGGCUGGUGAAGAUGGUUCUGGUCCUCGGUUCUCGUGGUAGACGCGUCGGAGGGUUUGUUUCACCGGAGGAGUCUACCGGAGGACGAACUCUGCAGUGGGUACGCGAUGGAGGUUCACAUCCCAGCGCCUGAUGGUGACUCCUCCCGUCUCGCCGGCAGUGAAACUUCACGCCAUGGAUUCACCUUUGGUACUGGUCCGGUCCACGUAUGCUCGUCAAAGCCCGAAUUUCAGUACGGGUUCUUUCCCAGUUC
rnacentral:lncRNA from 1 species